rnacentral:rRNA from 1 species
GAUGAACGAUGGCGGCGUGCCUAAUACAUGCAAGUCGAGCGAACGGACGAGAAGCUUGCUUCUCUGAUGUUAGCGGCGGACGGGUGAGUAACACGUGGAUAACCUACCUAUAAGACUGGGAUAGCUUCGGGAAACCGGAGCUAAUACCGGAUAAUAUUUUGAACCGCAUGGUUCAAAAGUGAAAGACGGUCUUGCUGUCACUUAUAGAUGGAUCCGCGCUGCAUUAGCUAGUUGGUAAGGUAACGGCUUACCAAGGCAACGAUGCAUAGCCGACCUGAGAGGGUGAUCGGCCACACUGGAACUGAGACACGGUCCAGACUCCUACGGGAGGCAGCAGUAGGGAAUCUUCCGCAAUGGGCGAAAGCCUGACGGAGCAACGCCGCGUGAGUGAUGAAGGUCUUCGGAUCGUAAAACUCUGUUAUUAGGGAAGAACAUAUGUGUAAGUAACUGUGCACAUCUUGACGGUACCUAAUCAGAAAGCCACGGCUAACUACGUG